GGGGAUUUAGCUCAGCGGCAUAAGCACCUGCCUUGAAAGUGGGUGGUUGUGAGUUCAAUCCCCA
rnacentral:tRNA from 1 species